rnacentral:rRNA from 1 species
ACUCCUACGGGAGGCAGCAGUGGGGAAUUGUUCGCAAUGGGCGCAAGCCUGACGACGCAACGCCGCGUGGAGGACGAAGAUUUUCGGAUCGUAAACUCCUUUCGAUCGGGAAGAACAGCUCUCGAGUUAAUAGCCUGAGAGUCUGACGGUACCGAGAGAAGAAGCCCCGGCUAACUCCGUGCCAGCAGCCGCGGUAAUACGGGGGGGGCAAGCGUUGUUCGGAAUUACUGGGCGUAAAGGGCCAGUAGGCGGCCAACUAAGUCCGACGUGAAAUCCCAAGGCUUAACCUUGGAACUGCGUCGGAUACUGGAUGGCUUGAAUUCGGGAGAGGGAUGCAGAAUUCCAGGUGUAGCGGUGAAAUGCGUAGAUAUCUGGAGGAAUACCGGUGGCGAAGGCGGCAUCCUGGACCGACAUUGACGCUGAACGGCGAAAGCUAGGGGAGCAAACGGGAUUAGAUACCCCGGUAGUCCUAGCCCUAAACGAUGAAUGUUUGGUGUGGCGGGUAUCGAUCCCUGCCGUGCCGAAGCUAACG